ensembl:snRNA U6 U6 spliceosomal RNA
GCACUCGCUUCGGCAGCACAUGUACUAAAAUUGGAACAAUAGAGAGAAGAUUAGCAUGGCCCCUCUGCAAGGAUGACACACAAUUCAUGAAGCAUUGUAUAUUAAA